UACGAAGGGGGCUAGCGUUGUUCGGAAUCACUGGGCGUAAAGCGCACGCAGGCGGAUUAAUAAGUCAGGGGUGAAAUCCCGGGGCUCAACCUCGGAAUUGCCUUUGAUACUGUUUAUCUUGAGUUCGGGAGAGGUUGGUGGAAUUCCUAGUGUAGAGGUGAAAUUCGUCGAUAUUAGGAAGAACACCAGUGGCGAAGGCGACCAACUGGCCCGAUACUGACGCUCAUGUGCGAAAGCGUGGGGAGCAAACAGG
rnacentral:rRNA from 1 species